AAGUGUGCUGGCCUUUGUCAAUUUUGUGUCUUUUUAGUUGCCAAGAAAUUUGACCUUCCUACAUUGGAUAUAAAGGUCUUUGAUGACUCAAAGACAGAGGUUGAUGAGGAAAACAAGGAUCUACAGAACAUCAACUUGGCCAAAUGAUUGAGGGUAUUCUUAAGAACAGCCCUGGAGGAGAGAAGAUCAUAAAUGCAUACUUUCGUACCAAAAGUCUGUCAGAUAGCCGGAGACAUGACUUGGUCAAAAUAUUAGUUGCACAUUUGACAAAUGAACAUGGAACAAGUCCUUCCCGACGUUUGAAGAAAGUAUAUGCAAACCUGAGGAGCAGGCUUGGUUAUGAACAUUACUACAAUCCAGAAGAUGGAAGUGGACACCUGGCUUGGAGGAUUAAAACGCUGCAGAAAGAUGCAACUGACGGGAGGCUGAAAAGGCCACGAUAACACAAACAGGCUGAGACAGUGAUUUGUCAAUCCUGAUACUGGUUCAUCUUUUGCUACCCUCCAGCCAAGGCCGCAAAAGACCAGGAAAAAUCUCAGCUGGACAUACAUGUG